ensembl:lncRNA
UGGUUCUGAGCGCGCGCGCUGCUGUUUGGUCGCCAAAUAUUUUAAUAUCAACUCUACGCUACUGAAUCCCCAGUUCGAUACUGAGUUUGGGUUACUGUCUGUGGGUGUUUUCGCAUAUUCUCCCCAUGUUCAUGUGGGUUUCCACUGUGUUCUCUGGUUUCCUCCCAUCUCCCAAAAACAUUUAGUGUUUCAUUGGAUAAGCUGCGGAUCCACCACAACCCUGACCAAGAUAAAUCACUUACUGAAGAUGAAAUAUAUAAUGUUUCAUGGUGCCAUUCUCCUUUAAGUUAAAACUGUAAAUAUAUUACCCACAUAACAUUCAGCUUUCAGGCACAAUUCCUCCUUUACACUUUAGGAUGUGGGAUCUACAGGGGAAAAAAGAUGAUUUCAGUUGUCAAAGGUGUCUGGCCCAAUGACCUUUAUUCAAUGUUAUGUAUUACAUUAAGCAAUUGAUGUAGUUUUUAUAUGAAAAUGGAUAUUCUGUCAGCUACGUUUUCAGUAAGGGCAACAAUUGUGUACAUUUAUUUUGUUUUGGUAAAUUAUCCCUAGAUUCAUGGAUUAAUACUGAAUCUACCUUGCACAGCUGCAUCCAAUUAGCUAGUUAGAUACCCUGAUCUAUUUUAAUAUCUUCCCAACAUUUUCCUUUGGGGAAAACAAUUCAU